rnacentral:SRP_RNA from 1 species
GGCCGGGUCCUGUGCGAUCUGUCGGUGUGAACCCUGUCAGGUCCUGACGGAAGCAGCAGUAAGCGUUGGACAGGUGUGCUGCGGGGCUGCCCGGCCUGA